GAGGUCCUACGGGAGGCAGCAGUAGGGAAUUUUCGUCAAUGGGCGCAAGCCUGAACGAGCAAUGCCGCGUGAACGAGGAAGGUCUUCGGAUCGUAAAGUUCUGUUGAAGGGGAAAAAGAGCGGAGAGAGGAAAUGGUCUCCGAUUGAUAUUACCCUUCGAGGAAGUCACGGCUAACUACGUGCCAGCAGCCGCGGUAAUACGUAGGUGGCGAGCGUUAUCCGGAAUGAUUGGGUGUAAAGGGAGCGUAGACGGUGCAGCAAGUCUGAUGUGAAAGGUCGGGGCCCAACCCCGGGACUGCAUUGGA
rnacentral:rRNA from 1 species